AUCUUCCUAUUAUGAAUAAUAUUAUUAUGUGCUGAGAGGAUGCUUGAGCUCAUGGAUGGAUUCUUGAAGAACGAUCUGGUUAGCUUGUAGAAGGUUAUUUUGGAUCAUGUGGAGUAUACAGUUGCCAGAUGGGGGUUAGCUUUGAUGAUUUCGAGGCUUACCAGUUAUAGGUUCUACUAAGAGGGAGGUUAUGAGGGAGGUUGCUUGGAUUAUCUUUGAAGAAGUACACUACAUCAAAGGUACAUCAGCAGCCUUGCCACAUUGUUUAUACGGAUUAUCGACCUACACCACUUCAGCAUUACAUUUUUCCUUCUGGAGGUGAUGGCUUAUAUUUGGUGGUGGAUGAAAGAGGGAAAUUUAGGGAGGGCAAUUUUCAAAAAGCUUUAAAUGCACUUGUUCCAGCUAGCGAAGGGGAUAAGAAAAGGGAAAAUGGGAAGUGAAAAAAAGGUUUACUAUCAGGCAGGCUUAGUGAAGAAAGUGACAUUUAAAAUGGUGAAAAUGAUAAUGCAGCAACAAUACGAUCCUGUGAUAAUUUUCAGGUUCAGCAAAAGGGACUGCGAGUUUCUUACAAUGCGGGUUUCAAAUAUGCUACCCUUGUUGAAACAUGGGAUUGGUGUACAUCAUUCUGGUCUGCUGCCAAUUUUGAAGGAAGUUAUUGAGAUACUCUUUCAGGAAGGGCUGAUCAAGGUUGGCAUCAAAAUUAUGAUUUCUUGCUUAAAGUACAUGUUGCCAAGGCUAUGGAAAGUUCGGGACGAAAUCAAAUAAGUUGAAGAAACAUUUUGAUCAAUUUUCAAUAAUUAAGGAGGCAAUUGAAAACAAACAUGAAGCUGUCAAGACUCAGGAAGAAUGUGAGUUUCUUUGCACUCAUUUUUCUAGUGAAAAGUUUAAGAUUCACUCAAAGAAGAAUGUUCGUAAUAGGUCAAAGUUGACAUAUCACCACAAAGCUGCGUCAAAAUCAUUUAUGUCACACCAAGAGCAAAUUGCAGCACAGACUGGAGAGAUGCAAGGUGCAGUUGAUCGUUUUGAAAAAGAGUAUAGAAGCACAAAAAAAGAUGGGACUUGGGAGCAAGGGAAAAAUGAGAUCAAAUGAUAAAGAUACGAGCAGAUACCACUCAACCUGAUGGAACUCGAACAAUGACAGAUGAGGAAAUUUGUGCAAAAGUUCUCAAAGUCAAAUCAGGCUAUAUUAAGGGCUGUGGUUUUGGCCCUAGACCACCACCAUUAAGGUUCUCUCGUUCUUCAAUGAGUGAAAUGUCUGAAAAGAAUAAAGAGUUACAAGAACAGUUUCAAGAGACCCAACAACUUGUAGGAACUCAACAACAAAAGAUCGAUGCACAAAAUAAGGUAAUCCAAAGAUUGGAGGAGCAAGCCAAAAAGUUUGAGGAGUUUAUGGCUAAUUUUUCCAGGCAACAUCCAUCAGCUUAGUAUUUUUAGUGAAUUUAAACUUGGAGAAAUGUUUAUUUGAUCGUGUUGCAUUUGUUAUUGCUUUAGAUUAGUAUUGUUACUUAUGGUAGAAACUUCCUUGCUUAUUUAUUUUAAUUGUUUUGAUGUACUGUGGUGACUAUUGAUGACAAUUAUUUAUAUUUUGAGC